CGUGUAGGCGGUUUGUCAAGUCGGGUGUGAAAGCCUGGGGCUCAGCCCCAGAAGUGCAUCCGAAACUAGCGAGCUAGAGCGCGAUAGAGGAGGGUGGAAUUCCUGGUGUAGCGGUGAAAUGCGUAGAUAUCAGGAGGAACACCGGCGGCGAAGGCGGCCCUCUGGAUCGUUGCUGACGCUGAGACGCGAAAGCGUGGGGAGCAAACAGGAUUAGAUACCCUGGUAGCCCACGCCUUAAACGAUGGGUACUAGGUGUUCGGGGUGUUGACCCCCUGAGUGCCGCAGUUAACGCAUUAAGUACCCCGCCUGGGGACUACGGCCGCAAGGUUAAA
rnacentral:rRNA from 1 species